GUUGCUUCACAACUGGAAGUAUGGCCUGUUGUUAAUAGUUUGGUCAUGCUGUAGAGGGAAGCAUAGAUUAAUCGGAAACACUGGCCAGCAUUAAACAGCACGACGCAUUACCAAACUGCGUCAUGUUACCUGUCUUCUGGCACAUUU
rfam:Triticum aestivum genome assembly, contig: Triticum_aestivum_CS42_TGACv1_scaffold_485580_6AS